rnacentral:snRNA from 8 species
GAAUUUUCCCAAAUGUGGAAAUCUCGAUUGCAUAAUUUCUGGUAGUGGGGGACUGCGUUCGCGCUCUCCCCUG